GGACCUGACUGCUAUCGGAUUGAUACUAAGCCAUGCGAGUCAUUGUAGCAAUACAAGGCAGACGGCUCAGUAACGCGUAGUCAACCUACCCUAUGGACGGGAAUAACCUCGGGAAACUGAGUAUAAUGCCCGAUAGAACAUUAUGCCUGGAAUGGUUUAUGUUCCAAAUGAUUUAUCGCCGUAGGAUGGGACUGCGGCCUAUCAGUUUGUUGGUGAGGUAAUGGCCCACCAAGACUAUUACAGGUACGGGCUCUGAGAGGAGUGGCCCGGAGAUGGGUACUGAGACACGGACCCAGGCCCUAUGGGGCGCAGCAGGCGAGAAAACUUUGCAAUGUGCGAAAGCACGACAAGGUUAAUCCGAGUGGUUUCUGCUAAAGGAACCUUUUGUCAGUCCUAGAAACACUGAUGAAUAAGGGGUGGGCAAGUUCUGGUGUCAGG
rnacentral:rRNA from 1 species